GUCACUGUUUUAAUUAGAUACUGAUUUCACUGUCGGCAGUUCAAACAACUACAAUUACUUGCUUCGAUUCAUAGUUCCUGCUCUUUAUUUCAGGGCCCAAAGAGUUUGCUGAUUUAUGUAGUUGUCUUGGUCAAUGGUGUGCCGGUGCUUGAUCGGAAUAUGUACUAUGUGGGUAUGCAGUAUACAUCAGCAACAUUUGCAUCUGCCUCACUCAAUGUUCUUCCUGCCAUAACCUUUAUCAUGGCAAUAAUUUCCAGGAGCAAUGGUGAUGACAAUGUACAAGGGUCCAGUCCUUGACAUUAUAAGGUCCCAUGGAGCUACUCACAACCAUGCCACUGAACCCGCUAAUCAGCAUUGGAUUAUGGGAAUUCUUCUUCUUCUUGGCAGUUGCUGUGGCUGGGCUGGCUAUUUUUAUUUUGCAGGUAAGUCAUAUUCUAUAGCUCACCCUCCGUUUUAAACUCCAAACUUUUUAGUUUUGCAGACUAUCAAAAAUUUAUUAAAGAUUUCGCAUAUCUGAGUCAUAUUUUUUUGCAACGAAUAUGUAUCUAUCUCUAAGUAAUCCCAACGGAUUAAAUACGUCCUAUAUUUCGAAAAAUUCUGAUAUCCAACUAUCCAAGUAUGAUGAUGGAAGUGGAAGAAAGAUUGAACUCAACUUUGACAGCUUUGUUGAAUGUGGCUUGAUUUUAAAGAUGAGACCAUAAUUACUCUCUUUUAGACUUGAUUCACUUGAUAAAAUUUGGCACUAGGAGGAAAUGGUGCCAUAUGAUUUUGUAUGCAGAUACACUCUUCAGUCUUGGUACGUAGUCUUGAAUCAUUGUGUUAUGCAAGAAAACACAAGGUGAUGUUAAAUUAAUGUCAAAACUUCAAUUUCUUGAGGAGAAACAUUUUUUAUAUAGAAUAAUGAAGCUAAAAUUGCUUUACUCUUUAUCGUGAGAAAUCAGUUUCCCCUUGAUAUGGGUUGGGGCUCUUCUCUUAAGGUAACUGUUUUAUUCUCAAUGUAUUCACUUCAGUUCAGUUCCUGAGAAAUCAUGAUUUCAGCUUAAUAAAAUAACAACAAGACUAAAGUACUUUUUUAAACCGCGGAAUUACUUUAUUUACUGUGUUAAAUUCACAGAGUCAUGGUUAUGUCUUGCUGAUAUUCUUUAUAAGCUUAAACUGAGAAGACUUUUGUUGUUCCAGGCAUUUCCAGGAUUCAAGUCUGACAUCAAUGACAUGAUACAAAGCGCUGAAUUUCGAAGGGGAUUCGAGUUACUGGAUUUAGACGGAGGGAUAGAACGGGACCUCUACAUCAAUGGCAUGAUACAAAGCGCGACAAAGAAAGUGCAAAAACAACAUUGGCUCAUCCUUAUUUCGGUAGGGAAGGUCUGCUAGCUUUAUCUUUCAUGCAGAAGCCGAGGAUGCAAUACUUUCGAGCGACACAACAAGAUCGAAUUUUUAAUUUUAGCGAACAUUUUUUGUUUCUAAUUUUAGCGAAUAUUUUCUGUUUUUUAUUUUCUGUUUCUAAUUUUAGCAAAUAUUAAAUUGUUGUCUAGAAGGAAUAUUUAAAUUAUGUAUAAGAUAUAUUUGAAUUUUUAUACAAA